UACGUAGGGGGCAAGCAUUGUCCGGAUUUAUUGGGCGUAAAGAGCGUGUAGGCGGCCAAGCAGGUCCGCUGUGAAAACUCGAGGCUCAACCUCGAGAGGUCGGUGGAAACCGUUUGGCUAGAGUCCGGAAGAGGAGAGUGGAAUUCCCGGUGUAGCGGUGAAAUGCGCAGAUAUCGGGAAGAACACCCGUGGCGAAGGCGGCUCUCUGGGACGGUACUGACGCUGAGACGCGAAAGCGUGGGGAGCGAACAGG
rnacentral:rRNA from 1 species